rnacentral:rRNA from 1 species
AGUGAACGCUGGCGGUAGGCCUAACACAUGCAAGUCGAACGGCAGCACAGUAAGAGCUUGCUCUUACGGGUGGCGAGUGGCGGACGGGUGAGGAAUACAUCGGAAUCUACUUUUUCGUGGGGGAUAACGUAGGGAAACUUACGCUAAUACCGCAUACGACCUACGGGUGAAAGCAGGGGAUCUUCGGACCUUGCGCGAUUGAAUGAGCCGAUGUCGGAUUAGCUAGUUGGCGGGGUAAAGGCCCACCAAGGCGACGAUCCGUAGCUGGUCUGAGAGGAUGAUCAGCCACACUGGAACUGAGACACGGUCCAGACUCCUACGGGAGGCAGCAGUGGGGAAUAUUGGACAAUGGGCGCAAGCCUGAUCCAGCCAUAGCGCGUGGGUGAAGAAGGCCUUCGGGUUGUAAAGCCCUUUUGUUGGGAGAGAAAAGCAGCAGGUUAAUACCCCGCUGUUCUGACGGUACCCAAAGAAUAAGCACCGGCUAACUUCGUG